UAAUUCUAAAACGCGGGCGACAUUUUCCACAGCUGUGAUGUCGAAAUGUCAACACGAAUGUCAAACGAUCGCAAAGUAAAAUGUAAAUUCCAAAAGUUUAUUUUAUCUUUGGUAAAUUCGUGAAUGUCGGAUGUUACCGAAUCUCGAAAGCCACUGGAUCACAAUGACCCUGGCCUUUGGGCCAGAACUAAGUGACACGACGGCAGAACCGUCGGGGAGGAGCAGCCCGGGUAGGGGGGGCAACCCCGAGGCCUGUGCUCAGACUGGCCUAGGCAAGUCAGGAGGACCAUUGAUCUUGUACCAUAAACUAUUUUUAUUUAUUAUUAUCACAUUUCAUUGAAAUAUAUCACUACUUCUAUGUAAUUAAUUAUACAUCUAACUUAUCAAUAAAUAUAUGAUUAAUUUAAAAAAAAUCAAUACAUUAUAUAAAUACAAAUGUACACCAAAAGGGAAAAUAUGUAUAAUAACUAUUUGGUUACAUCUUUGAUAGUGUGACAAAACUUACUGUGUUAUAUUAUAGUAGUAGAAUAUUUUUAGGUGUUUUCUACAAAUAAAUUCGUCAUUUGAUAUGAUGUUCUUACCCAGGAUUUUUAAUUAAUUAGAUAAUUGUUUGAAACAUUUCUAUAAAAAAAGUUUCUUACAUUAACUUAGCUUGCAAAUCAGCUACAUGAUUUUUUUCUGAGGCUAGCUGUUGUUUUAUGGUUUGUAAUCUAUCACGGGAUUCAUUUUUCUUGCUUUCCGAUUCACAUAAUGCUCUGAAAUUUACAGAAGUAUUUGUUGUACAAGAAUAUAGAUUAUACAUAUAAAUACUAGUAAAUAAUAUUUAUUCCAUGCAUUGAGUUGCGAACGUUGCUCGGGAAGAUUUCCCCGACACCACGCUCUAAACGACAUUGUCCGGAGGGCCUUGGUUUCGGCGAAUGUCCCAUGCGUCCUGGAACCACCAGGUCUCAGUCGCUCCAAUGGCAAGAGACUAGAUGGUUUGACACUGGUCCCAUGGCAAAGGGGAAGAAGUUUGAUAUGGGAUGCUACCUGUGUCAAUACCUUCGCGGCCUCUCACCUGGCCCACACAACACGGACGGCUGGGGCGGCUGCUGAGAGUGCAGCAGCGAGGAAGCGGGAGAAGUAUGCCCCCUUGUUUAAAAAUUAUUUAUUUGUGCCACUAGCGUUCGAGACGUCGGGAUGUUGGGGGUCGGAUGCCCUUACUUUAAUAAGGGAAAUUGGCUGUCGCCUUAGAGAGAGGGAAUUUGACAGUCGCUCCGGGUCCCACUUGGCACAAAGGUUGUCCAUUGCCAUACAGCGCGGAAAUGCGGCCUGCAUUAUGGGCAGCUUUGCGUCGGGUGGGAAUCGGGAGGCACUUUUUUAAAUUUGACUAAAAUAAUAAAAAUUAAUAAUGUAAAUUAUUUAAAAUUAAUAUUUCUAAAUUAAAUUGUUAUUCGAUGUAUUUAUAUAAAUCAAAUAAUAUUGGUUAGUAUGUGAUAUUUAUUUUGACAGGGUAUCACAAAAUCAUAUUGUUAAGCUAAUGAGAUAAGUUUAAAAAUAAAUUAAAUGGUCUCUGAUUGGCUACAUUUAUUGUAUAUCUGGAGAAAAAUAAGAAGAAUAAAAAGGAAUGGGCAGUUACAAAAAAAAUCCUAUUAACUUUAAAUUUGUUUAUCUACGUC